UGAAUAUAUUUACUGGAUUUUACAAUAUUUUUUCUAGUAUGUAUGAUUAAAUAUACAUUCCAUGAUUUAUAAUUAAAUUGCUUGUCUGCUAUAAAGAUGCUGUAAAGUUCGUAAUGUAAACAAACGCUUUGUUUACACUUUCAACUCAGUGGUACAGUUGUAAAAUAUGAUUAGAUAUAUAUUAAAGUGCCUAUAUACUUGCGGGACCUUUUGGAUUUGAAAAGAGCAUAAAAAGUUAGUUAAUAAGUUCAAAAGAUUUUUUCGAUUUAGUGGAAUAAUUUUGAAGUUACAGUCCUCUAAAGUACCUACAGUUCCUGAGUCCCAGGCUCCUAUGCACAAUGGACAGUUUCGAAAAAGGCCAAAUUCUAUAGCCGUGUUUAGAUCCCAGAAAGCUGCGACUCAGGAACAGUCCGUUGUUUAAAGGCCUGUAUCCUCAAAACUAUUGCAUUAAAUCAAAAAAAUCUUGUGAACCUAUUAACUAACUUUUUAAUAUCUUUUCAAAUCCAUAAAAGUCCCACAAGUGAUAUAGGCACUUUAACACUCUUCUGGUUCGCUAUGCUUGUAAAUGAAUACAGAGUAGAGAUUCAUUUCAAGAAAGUACAGAAGGUGCAAAAUAUUAAUAACACUCCAAUGGUCGGGUCUCCACCAUUGGAAUGUAGGCCUGCGCAGAACGUAUGCGCAGAACGGACUUUACAGCAUCUUUAAUAUUAAUUAUGUUAUAAAUAAUCAUUUAUAAGAUUUGUUUUGUCAUACACAUGUUCUGAGUGGUCAAAAUUAAUGUUGGAAUGAGCAUACUCUAAUAAUAACAAUCCUAUUACACUUAGGGGCACCUUCACCGGUCACCCGGCUGGCUUUCGAAUGUUUGGUCAAUUUUGGCAAAUUUUCCUUCACAAGUUUUGUUGCUCGCGUGCACGGAAUGUUGUUAAACAUUUAUCUCACGUCAAGGUAGCCUGCAUGGCAGGCAGGCGGUCCCUAAAAUCGGGCAAACCUGGGAUUUUAGACCGCCUGCCAUGCAGGCUAACGUCAAGGCCGCCUUUUGUUUGCCAAAACCAGAGAAAUAUUUCUUGCACAUUUGUUGUCUAGUUUUCCGAAAAGAAUUUCCUUGUCCAAAAGCAGGCACGACUAGUUAUGGAACAAUUUCCUUGGCAAGGAAAACUUGUCCAUUUUUUGCCGUACACACGAGCAAAUAAAAUUGGUCAAGGAAAAAUUGCCCGUCUGUACAGGGCUUAAGUGCUUAACAUGGCUUAAUAAAGGCUACAACCCCAGACAAUGGAUGAUUCCAGCUAUAGACUAAAUUUUGAUCUAGACAAGAAGAACAAAAUCCUUCACCACAGCUCGAAAAAGCAUGUUAAAAUUAGUAAAAUGACAAAGUUUGGCCGCGAAAUGUUGUAAAAUACGGAAAAUAUAGCACUGAGAAAUUUU